UGGGGAAUAUUGGGCAAUGGGCGCAAGCCUGACCCAGCCACGCCGCGUGAGUGAUGAAGGCCUUCGGGUCGUAAAGCUCUGUGGGGAGAGACGAAAAAACGUUGGCUAAUAUCCAACGGACUGACGGUAUCUCCUUAGCAAGCACCGGCUAACUCUGUGCCAGCAGCCGCGGUAAUACAGAGGGUGCAAACGUUGCUCGGAAUCAUUGGGCGUAAAGCGCACGUAGGCGGUCUGUUAAGUCGGUAGUGAAAGCCCUCGGCUUAACCGAGGAAGUGCUAUCGAAACUGGCAGACUUGAGUACCGGAGAGGGUCGCGGAAUUCCCGGUGUAGAGGUGAAAUUCGUAGAUAUCGGGAGGAACACCAGUGGCGAAGGCGGCGACCUGGACGGAUACUGACGCUGAGGUGCGAAAGCGUGGGGAGCAAACAG
rnacentral:rRNA from 1 species